rnacentral:rRNA from 1 species
UACGUAGGGGGCGAGCGUUGUCCGGAAUCAUUGGGCGUAAGCGCGUGUAGGCGGCCCGGUAAGUCCGCUGUGAAAGUCCAGGGCUCAACCCUGGGAUGCCGGUGGAUACUGUCGGGCUCGAGUCCGGAAGAGGCGAGUGGAAUUCCUGGUGUAGCGGUGAAAUGCGCAGAUAUCAGGAGGAACACCAAUGGCGAAGGCAGCUCGCUGGGACGUGACUGACGCUGAGACGCGAAAGCGUGGGGAGCAAACAGG